GGUUAUAACUGGCUUUCAGUUUGACAGAGCCCUGAAAUCUAACAUGUAAGAACCAAUCUUUUCCAUCAACAGUUGGGUAGCCAGAUGGUAGAUCUCUAGUUUUGAGCUAGGAAUCUAAAACCCCAAGUUAGUGGUUCUACCAAAAAGCUCCCCUGUGCUUCAGAAUCAAACCCGAGAACAAAAGGAGGUGACUGAUGUUGAAAUGGACAGAGAGCUCUGAUCAGGAAGACAUGAAUUCAAAAUUGACUUCAGACCCUCAUUAGAUGUAUGACCCAUUGCAAUUCCUUUAAUCUGUGUUUGCCUCAGUUUCUGGAACUGGAAAAUGGGGAUGAUAAUAAUUCCAACCCUUCAGGGGUGCUGCGAGGAUCAAAUGAGGUAAUAUUUAUAAAGUACUUAGCUCACAGUGGGAGUUAAAUAAAUGUUUAUUUCUUCUUUCCUUCUUUUCCAGGAGAACAAAAGCACUGGAGAGUUUUCCAAAGUCUCAGCCAAUGAAGAGGGCAGAAAGCAUUCUCUACCCUACUCUCUGGCUCUGAGAGAGAAGCUUGUUUCCUGUCAUUUAAAGCUCAAUUGACUUAUAUACAAAUAGCCUCUCUGACUACUUUAGUCAUGUGUACUUUUCUUUUUCUUUUCUUUUUUUUAUGUAUAAAAACUACAUAAGCUUAAGUAUGAUCUAGAAGAGGAAACAACCCGCCCACUGUGUACACAGAGAGCCUUGCAUUGCCACAAACUCCUUCAGACAUAACCUCAUGAUUUCAGCAACUGACAGAAAAGCGGGCUGUCAUUUUAUUGAUAAUCCAGCAGGGGGAUGUAAUAUACCAUUUGUCCACCAGGUGGUGAUGCACUCAAAUCACCAGCAAUGUGGUUUCCUCGGAGACCAUCCUUUGCAGGUACCUGGGCUUUUCCCAACUGCUGCAGUAUCCUCACUGCUCACUAGAGGGCGUUUUGCCUGCAAACUCUUAAACUAAACUCUCCAUCAGUCGGGACGGAACAGGUUCCGUGGUGCUAACUUGCCAGAUUUAAAACCGAGCCUAAAGAAAAAGAACUAUCCUUCUGAAAUAUGAGUAUUCUGAAAAUAGAAGCCUGGCUCUUUGGGGGUUCUGUCAUUGGAAAAGGCCCUAUUGUCAGUUAAACCAACUUCAUUUAGAAGACUUUUUCGGUGGCCACAUAGCUUAUUAAACCACAGCAAAGGAGUUAAUGCAGAGCAUAUUUUGCAUAGCAAAACUGUAGAGUUGUUUUGACCAAUCAUCUCCGUUCCACUCUUCCUGCUUUUUCCAAGUGGUUAAAUGUUUGGAGCCUGCGAAAGGGUUUCAAAUUUAGGAUCAGCCAAGAUGCACUCCACAAAAAAAAUAAGAGAAAAAAACUGAGGCAAGGUUGGGAUUGUUCAGCCAGGCUGAUCUCACUGGUGGAGAACAUUUGACCACAGUUUCCAGACUAGCGUCUUUUGCAACUCUGGGUCUGCUUGGAAAUGCUUGCUCUGUUUCAUGAUCCCACAGCCUGUUCUCAUGUUUUAGGCUCUCCAGCUUCUGUGCCUUUCACUGUGGCCACCUUGAGCUUCAGCAGUAGCAUUAAGCUUAGUAAGUAGCCAUCUGAGUAAUAAGCAGCCAGCAAGAGGCAGUCCAGCUACCAGCAGGGUUGAAAGAAUGGCAUGGAAUGGCCAACUGGGACUCUUUUCCAGGUAAAGAGGAGGAAAAGGAACUUGGAGAUGUUGGAAAAUGCAGGCUUUCCUUACUGUCUUGACAAUCUAGUUCCUCUGGUCAACUUCCUGAAGGCAUGAAAAUAUCUGUUACCUAAGUGAUUGCCAGGAUGAGGAUUCAAAC
rnacentral:lncRNA from 1 species